CCCUCUUGAAUUUUGAAUAUUUAGGCAUUUGAGUUAGGAAUUCGAUAAAAGUAAUAUUAACAUGCAAUUGUUUUAAUAAAUUUUCGAACUUUGCGAAUUGCUCAUCGGUCUUUUGAUGAAUUACCCGACCGGGGUAUGGGACCGGAGUAGUCUUCGUAGGCUCUUGAAUUGGUUGAGAAGCCUUCUCUUGUUGCGGCGUUGUUGUUGAGAGAUGUACUUGCGCCUUUGGGUUGGUUUCGGAACCCACGGUACGGUUUCUCAAUGUUAUGAGAUGUACUUGCGCCUUUGGGUUGGUUUCGGUAUUACUUGGUAACGCGCCUUGUGUUGUUGAAAUCGAUCCGAGUUUUUCUUUUCGGUGUCGGAGAUGAGGCGAGAUACAGUAUCUUCAAGCCUUUCUCGUCCACCUUGUUGUUGAGAGAAAUUUUGUGACUCGACUCUUGGUUGUUGAAAGUUUGUUCGUUGGUUUAGAUUUUGUUGGUUACUACUAUUGCCGGGUUCUCUCCAACCAAGGUUAGGGUGGUUACGCGAUCCUUGGUUGUAGGUACCCGUUGGAGGACCCGACGGCCUAGGUCUAUUAUCAAUGUAGUUUACCGACUCUGUUUGAUCAUCUAACUCUUUCAUACAACUCCAAUUUUCGUGUGGCCCAACACACCCGUCACAAGCCAUGACCGAGGCGGUUUUUGUAAUUUCUAGUUUUUUUGAUUUUUGAAGAAAGGGCUUCGAUUUAGGCUUGUAAAGAAGUGCUUUCAUCAACCUUAUGGGCACCAGGGGCAAUAGAUUUAUUGCCUCGGGGAGUGUGCCACUGAAAAUUGGUUUGAGCAAUUUCCUCAAUUUGAUUAUAUAUUUCAUUUGGGCGACGAUUACCUAAAAGUCCCUCGGAGCUAGAGUCAAGUGUUUGUCUUGUGUGUGGCAACAACCCAUUGUAGAAAGUGGAUACUCGUUGCCACACCGC
rnacentral:lncRNA from 1 species